CAAGGCUAGGGUGAAAUUUCCCUCAACAAAGUACAACAUAUUUUAUUAGUCAUGGCUAGGUGGCGUGUGCCACUGCCUGAUUUAAAGUGUUCAGCCUCAUCCAUCCAUCCAUCCAUCGGGUCCUGACUUCACCAUGGGAGGCUGCAUCGCCCGGAACAUCAGUCAGCCCUUCACCUACAAAAGAGCUGCGACCAACCGCGGCACUUUGUGGGCUUGGCAGCUGUGCCACAGCGCAGAGCAGUAACCCGCUUGUCUCUGCCAUGCAGGUUAGUAAACCGUGUACUCAUUUCGCGAAGAAAUCGAGCAUCUUUUACUGCAGCUGCCGAGCCCACAUUGCUGCUUUCUCAUUGUUGCUGAGUGUAUUGACAUCGUUCAUUCCUUGCUCAUGCAGUCAGGUGAUGUUGAAACCAAUCCGGGCCCAGAGAAUGCCGCAAUACUAGCUGAACUGCAAAAAAUGGCCAAUCGAAAUUAAUUUCGGAAGUAAAAGACUUGAAAAAACAACUUCUUACGACAGAUCAGACUAUCGCCCACUUGAGCCAGCGAUGUAGAAAAACAUUGUCAGAGCCUUACGUUGCUUUGCGCAGACAUUGACAACAUAUGGACUACCCAGACAGCUCAGCAUGUUUGCGACCUCGAGGCGCAUCUUGACGAUGCCGCAAAAAAUCACGGCGAAACAACUUAAUUUUUCAUGGCCUUCCCGACUCUGAAAAUUCAGAAAGUUAUGCUCAAUCCGAGGAAGUGGUCAUACGGCAUUGUCAGGACUGCUUAGGUUUUAUUUUAGAACCAAAAGAGAUAGAACGGGCCCAUCGUCUUGGCUGCCACUCUACCGGGCACAAUCGCCCCAUUAUCGUUAAGAUUUGUUUUUACAAAACGAAAGAAGCCAUCCUGUCUAAUGCAUGAAAGCUAAAAAGAAUGAAUUACAGCAUUGCACAGGAUUAUUCCCGUUCUGUUAGAGACACGUGUAGGCAUUUGAUUGCUUUCGCCAAAACAAAAUCAGCCCAUUUUUCCCUACAUUUUAAAACCCUUUUAAUUGGUUCAAAAAGAUAUACUUACGACGAGGUCUCGCAAAUGGUAAAGUAAGUUGCAUAGCAAUCCACUCAGAAUAAGAAGAAAGCACAUCCCUGCAAGUCUUCCCGAGCUAAUCUUACGUUCUCUGUAUUCUUUACUAAUAUACACAGCUUCCUGUCGAAGCGAGUGUCCAACAUGGAUUUGUCACCUGUCAGUAAUGUACUUAUAUUAACAGAAACAUGGCUACAUAGCGAUAUUAGCGACGCCCAAGUUCUUGACAAUUUGACUAAUUUCAACCUUUAUCGCAAAGAUUACCGUGAUGCACGCGGGGGUGGAGUACUUGUGGCGGUGAAUCAGCAGCUACCAUCUUCAGUAUUUCAUAUCGAUUCUGAUAUUGAAAUGUUAUGGGUAGUUUGCCGCGCUGCACCAUGAACCGUACUUUUAGGCAUCUGUUAUAGGCUGCCUCAAACUAACCCCAACUUUCCCCACAAAUUUAACAAUAUUCUAAGCAUCCUUACGGGAACACAUCAGACUGCAGACAUAGUUCUGUAUUGCGAUUUUAAUUAUCAUAGUAUAGACUGGCGUAACUACUUAAUUAACUUUAUCAAGCAACCCAGAAGCAACCAGUUUUAUUGAUGUUUGUCUCAACUUAAACCUCUCACAGCUAAUACUUGAACCAACGUGUGUUACGCAGAACUCUGCAAACAUUUUAGAUUUGAUACUAACCAACAAUCCCGACAGCAUGUAAUUUAUAACAUAUCUCGGGGAAGUAAGUGACCACAACGUUGUCCAUGCAACCUUUAACUUCGUUCCACUAACACGUGCAAUUUAUAAGAAAAUCGUUCGUCUUUACGGGAAGGCCAAUUACGAAGCCAUUAAUAUUGAGCUAAUCAGUUUUUUUCCUAUAUUCAAAACAGCUUUUCCUAAGCAUUCUGUACAAGAAAAUUGGUUGCUUUUCAAGAACAAAGUAUGUGAAUUAAUUGAGAUAUAUAUACCGGUAUGCAGCUUCCGUGCUAAUAAAGACAAGCCAUGGAUCAAUCAAUCACUAAAACGACUAGAGAAUAAGAAGAAACAUUAUUUCCGAGCAGCAAAACAGCAACAGAGCCCAAGUAUGUGGGACAAAUACUAUUCAGUGGAAACCACAUAUCUUGCAACGGUAAGUACAACUUUUUUCACAAAGAUCUUGUUAACAUGUUAACACGUAAUCUGCAACAGUUUUGGUGUGUGGUGAACCCGAAACACAAACGUACAAGUACACUUGCUGACGUAGCAAGUGAUGCAGAAAGCGCAAACGCAUUUAACGUAGCUUUUGCAAGUGUAUUCACUCUUAAGUGUGACAUGAUUUCUUCCUUACAAAGAACUACCACCAGAGAACGAACUAUGCCUGAGAUUGUAUUUUCCACAAAUGGUCUAUUAUCUCAGAUUGAACAUCUCAAGAUCACAUCAUCAGCUGGCUUUGAUGAAAUUAAUUUGAAGUUUUUACUAAAUACUAAGAACAUUUCUGCAAACUACCUGUGUCUUUUGUAUUCUCAGUUCCUUUCGACAGGUGACGUACCUGCUGACUGGAAAGUGGGAAAGGUAAUUCCCAUCUAUAAAUCAGAGGCUGGCCCUUGGCAACACUCUGAGCUGGCAUAACGAUCAACCUAAGAAAAUUAUCUAUACACAAACGACUCGGGCUACACCUGCGUCCAUACCCAGAACAAAUGGCAUCUUCUUAGGCACAGCCUUUCUCAUGGCCACAGGGAGACAGAAACGAUGCCCACGGCCUUUCCUUUUAUACUAUUUAUGCUACCACUACUAUGCCCCCUUCUGACACAAAUGCCAGCUUUUUCUGCAUAAGGUGCAGUGGUGCAGAAGCAAGGACAACAAUUUUCUUUCAUUACAAGGACAUGAGGGAAAUAUCUACUGAGAGUAAAGGGGACAGCAAGCCAACUGUUGUCCUUAGUGGGAAGAGCAGAUUCCGUCUCGAUCACUCCUCGGAUUUUCCCCUACUUUUUAAUACGAGACAUGCUUUUC